rnacentral:rRNA from 1 species
AUUGAACGCUGGCGGCAUGCCUUACACAUGCAAGUCGAACGGUAACAGGUCUUCGGAUGCUGACGAGUGGCGAACGGGUGAGUAAUACAUCGGAACGUGCCUAGUAGUGGGGGAUAACUACUCGAAAGAGUGGCUAAUACCGCAUGAGAUCUACGGAUGAAAGCAGGGGAUCGCAAGACCUUGUGCUACUAGAGCGGCCGAUGGCAGAUUAGCUAGUUGGUGGGGGAAAGGCCUACCAAGGCAACGAUCUGUAGUUGGUCUGAGAGGACGACCAGCCACACUGGGACUGAGACACGGCCCAGACUCCUUCGGGAGGCAGCAGUGGGGAAUUUUGGACAAUGGGCGCAAGCCUGAUCCAGCAAUGCCGCGUGCAGGAAGAAGGCCUUCGGGUUGUAAACUGCUUUUGUCAGGGAAGAAAUCUUCUGGGCUAAUACCCCGGGAGGAUGACGGUACCUGAAGAAUAAGCACCGGCUAACUACGUGCCAGCCGCCGCAGUAA